rnacentral:siRNA from 1 species
GUGACUUCGCGUGAUGUAAGUUAU